CGGACGGGUGAGUAUGUCUGGGAAACUGCCCGAUGGGAGGGGAUAACUACUGGAACGGUAGCUAAUACCGCAUAACGUCGCAAGACCAAGACGGGGACCUUCGGGCCUCUUGCCAUCGGAUGUGCCCAGAUGGGAUUAGCUAGUAGGUGGGGUAACGGCUCACCUAGGCGACGAUCCCUAGCUGGUCUGAGAGGAUGACCAGCCACACUGGAACUGAGACACGGUCCAG
rnacentral:rRNA from 1 species